UCCUAUGGCCAUGUCAACCUGAACAAGCCAAUCCUGUUUGAUCUCAGAAGCUAAGCAGGGUCAAGCCUAGUUAGUACUUGGAUGGGAGGCCAUCUAGGAAGACCAGGUGCUGUAGACA
ensembl:rRNA 5S_rRNA 5S ribosomal RNA